rnacentral:misc_RNA from 1 species
AGCAUCAGCGAGUGCAUAACACCGGUCAAAUGCAGCCUCUGGAAAGUCCGUACAUAAGUUGGCGUAACCGCGAUAACAGUCUUUGGGCUCUUCACUCCAAACUGAAUCCUCUGCUCUUUCUGAACGCUCUCAAUUAUCUGGUGCGCUCUCAUCACCUCGGCCGGAUUCGGAUGGGGCCAAGGCCGGAUCCGGAUCCCAUGGCGGCCAACGAUAACUCUAGAGCUGACGGUUUUGUUAAUUGCAGGCACUUCGGGGUUAACAACCGGAUUGUAAGGGACAUUAAGAGGAUUGGCGAGGUCAGCGGUGGUGGCGAGCUGACGGAAUGGCAUGCCGUAGAGAUUAGAGGCAGAGGUGGAGAAAAGAAAUAGAAAAACUAAACGAGAGAAACGGAAACCGAGUACGAGACUAAUAAGGCAGCAAACACCAUGGAGAAGGAGCCAAAAGAUAGCUGCGGGAGAUUUAACCGCACUUUCAGCAGACGAAUCCAACGGCGCUGAUCCUCUGAAGCUGGUGCUCCGGCG